rnacentral:rRNA from 1 species
AUUGCUUAUAACCUUUUGGUUAUAAAUAAUUGUUAGUGGCAGACGGGUGAGUAAUGCGUAGGAAUCUACCUAGUAGUAUGGAAUAGCCAUUAGAAAUGAUGGGUAAUACUGUAUAAUCCCUGCGGGGGAAAGAUUUAUCGCUAUUAGAUGAGCCUACGUUAGAUUAGCUAGUUGGUAAGGUAAUGGCUUACCAAGGCUAUGAUCUAUAGCUGGUCUGAGAGGACGAUCAGCCACACUGGAACUGAGAUACGGUCCAGACUCCUACGGGAGGCAGCAGUGGGGAAUAUUGGACAAUGGGCGAAAGCCUGAUCCAGCUAUGCCGCGUGAGUGAAGAAGGCCUUCGGGUUGUAAAACUCUUUCAAUAGGGAA